GUGUCAGCAGCCGCGGUAACACCCGCGCCUUGAGUGGUGGUCGUUAUUACUGAGCCUAAAGCGUCCGCAGCCGGUUUCGUAAAUCCUUGGGUAAAUCGGGCCGCUCAACGGUUCGCCCUCCGAGGACACUGCGAGGCUUGGGACCGGGUGAGGCGAGAGGUACUCCCGGGGUAGGGGUAAAAUCCUGUAAUCCUGGGAGGACUACCGGUUGCGAAGGCGUCUCGCUAGAACGGAUCCGACGGUAAGGGACGAAGGCCUGGGGCGCAAACGGGAUUAGAUACCCCGGUAGUCCAGGCUGUAAACGCUGCGAGCUUGGUGUUGGGGCUCCUACGAGGGGUCCCAGUGCCGUAGCGAAGGUGUUAAGCUCGCCGCUUGGGGAGUACGGCCGCAAGGCUGAAACUUAAAGGAAUUGGCGGGGGAGCACCGCAACGGGAGGAGCGUGCGGUUCAAUUGGAUUCAACGCCGGAAAACUCACCUGGGGCGACUGAUACCUGUGGGCCAGGCCGACGACCUUGCCUGAAUUUCAGAGAGGUGUUGCAUGGCCGCCGUCAGUUCGUACCGUAAGGCGUUCUGUUAAGUCAGAUAACGAACGAGACCCUCGCUGCUAUUUGCCACUCCGUCCUCCGGGGCGGAAGCACUAUGGCGGGACCGCUGGCGCUAAGCCAGAGGAAGGAGAGGUCAACGGUAGGUCCGUAUGACCCGAAUCCCCAGGGCAACACGCGCGCUACAAAGGGCGGGACAAUGGGCUUCAACGCCGAGAGGCGAAGGCAAUCCCGAAACCCGCUCGUAGUUCGGAUUGAGGGCUGUAACUCGCCCUCAUGAAGCUGGAUUCCGUAGUAAUCGCGGGUCAACAUCCCGCGGUGAAUAU
rnacentral:rRNA from 1 species